UGCUCAUGAGUGAUGAUGUCUGGCUCAGAAACGCAAAUUAAGUCUCCAUGUCGCGCUUGCACACGGACCCUUGCAGUGGGGAGAGUAUUACCAACCCGAUGCUUCUCCUUUCAGAGACCAAGCCCUUCUGACAGCACCGCCGGCUCCUCCUCGGACGACUCCGAAACGGACCGGUCCUUCUCGUCGGGCCUGGGAGGAUCAUUCGCCUUCCGCUGAGCUGGAAAACGAAGCCACCAGCCGGAGGCCCAGAGUUGGUUUCAGAAAUGACCUUGAGAUCCAGCUAUCAAGCAAGAAUUGAGACCCAGAAAUCAACGCAUCAGAGAAGAGGCCUUACUUAAAACUGGACAUUGUGCCGACAUUGGCCAGGGACAGAAUGGGCUUCCCUGUCCCUAGAAUCACCUCACCUGGUUUCUCCAUGGGCCUGUUUCAUGAGCAUUUGCUUGCUUAGCUCAUUGCAGUUACUCACAAAAUAAACCACAUUCCUUAUGCGCUGCCUA